GACGAACGCUGGCGGCGUGCCUAAUACAUGCAAGUCGAGCGAGCUUGCCUAGAUGAAUUUGGUGCUUGCACCAAAUGAAACUAGAUACAAGCGAGCGGCGGACGGGUGAGUAACACGUGGGUAACCUGCCCAAGAGACUGGGAUAACACCUGGAAACAGAUGCUAAUACCGGAUAACAACGCUAGACGCAUGUCUAGAGUUUAAAAGAUGGUUCUGCUAUCACUCUUGGAUGGACCUGCGGUGCAUUAGCUAGUUGGUAAGGUAACGGCUUACCAAGGCAAUGAUGCAUAGCCGAGUUGAGAGACUGAUCGGCCACAUUGGGACUGAGACGCGGCCCAAGCUCCUACGGGAGGCAGCAGUAGGGAAUCUUCCACAAUGGACGCAAGUCUGAUGGAGCAACGCCGCGUGAGUGAAGAAGGGUUUCGGCUCGUAAAGCUCUGUUGGUAGUGAAGAAAGAUAGAGGUAGUAACUGGCCUUUAUUUGACGGUAAUUACUUAGAAAGUCACGGCUAACUACGUGCCAGCAGCCGCGGUAAUACGUAGGUGGCAAGCGUUGUCCGGAUUUAUUGGGCGUAAAGCGAGUGCAGGCGGUUCAAUAAGUCUGAUGUGAAAGCCUUCGGCUCAACCGGAGAAUUGCAUCAGAAACUGUUGAACUUGAGUGCAGAAGAGGAGAGUGGAACUCCAUGUGUAGCGGUGGAAUGCGUAGAUAUAUGGAAGAACACCAGUGGCGAAGGCGGCUCUCUGGUCUGCAACUGACGCUGAGGCUCGAAAGCAUGGGUAGCGAACAGG
rnacentral:rRNA from 1 species